rnacentral:lncRNA from 1 species
AACCCACUAGAGACCCAGAGAAAGAAGCAGGUUUCUUCAAAGUCCCAGGGCGAGUUGUGUGAGAACUGGAACUAAAAGCCCUGCUAUGAAGAGACAGACUUGAAAUGGGGUAGACACCAUCCCCAGAGUCGAUUCUCUCCCUAUCUCAACUUGCCCCAAGAAAAUCUAAGUAAUCCCCCUCCAAAGUCUCCGCCCCGGUCUCGGACCGCUCCGGCUCGGGCGGCUGGCGGAAAACUUCGACCACGUUCCUACCGCCUCCCAGACGAACGCUCCCGCCUGGGUUUUGAAAGCGGCCGCCUAAAUGAAUGAUCUCCGCAGCCAGGCGGGCUUCCUCGCCGGGCUGGGGAAGUGCUGACCGGCCGCCCGGGGCUGGCCUCCGCGCCGCGCCGCGCCGCACCUGUGGCCCGCCCGCUCGCCCGCCCGCCCGCUCGCCCCGCCGCGGCCCUGACCAGGCAGCUCUGCGGCCAGCCUGCCCCAUGCUCGCCCCGCGGCCGCCCCGGGCUGCGGGUCCGACCCCGCCGGUCACAGAGCUCGCUCCCCGCCUCCCCGGGGAGGGAGCUCCAGCCUCACCCCGCCGUCAUCACCACAUUGUAGAUGACCAGGAGAAGAAUUGGAACAUGGGGCAAGAAGUACUCAUGGUUAAGCAGUCUUGGCCAAAGAUGGAUGAUCUGUAUGAAGGCUUUGCUGUCCUGGAUCCAAGGUAUACAAUCAGUUCCCUGGGGGUGGAGAGAGUUUCUGGCAUAAACUCAGUACCUGUGUGCCAGGUAGGGGCUUUCACAGACCCAGGGACUGACUAUGCCUGAACUCCGUUACUCUUGAUAUCAAUCUAAGAAUGAGGAGUUAUUAUGUCAAUUUACUAGAUAGUGAAACUGGGGUACAAGCUACCAAUUAUAGCAAGUAGCACUGUAAAGCUCCAGGGAGCCUUAGCUUACUGGGGACCCCCAGAGUAAACCACGUGGAACCGGGAUCUAUGCAAAAAGCAAGAGGAAUUUAUUAUUCCAGUGCACUGAGGAGACCUGAAGGAGAGGCGGAGACCCCCAGCAGUCGUUUGGUGAGUUUUUAUAUGGUUUCCAGGGGCAGAAUAUAGCAUCAGCAACUAGGCACAAUAUGAUUGGUGGAACAGUGAACCCUUUAAACUGAUUGGUCUUUAGGGAAUGAGGUGACAAGGACUUCCCUUGUCUGAAGGUGGGCAACUGUCUAUCCUGUGGAAUGUGUCCCCACAUGCAGGUCGGUUUUGCCCUGUUGUCUGAAAAAUGCUAAUUAGCCUCUCCCUUCCCAAGUGUUUCAUGACCUCCCAAAGUUCCUAAGCUGACCUUUUCAGCACCUUUUAGGAAUAGAACAUGGGACUAGUCCAUGAGGAAAAUUGUUCCAC